AUGAAGUUCAAUGGACAAAUUUCAGGGAAUGGAGAGAGUUCUUUGGGUGAAUGGCUUCCUAGCAAAGUCCCAUCCACUUCUUUAUCUUCAGCUAGAUCCAAGGGGUUUUGGGUUCACUGCUCAGAAAGGUCUCCUGUCUCAGAGGUAUCUCUCAGACUAACCAUUCCAGGAGCACUCCCAAAGAGAAAUGAGGGAAAGAGCUUGUCACUUUGGAUUAACAAUUGCACAAGUCUCCAUGCUGAGCCAAGCACUGAAGAAAUAUUAAAUGGCUCAAGGACUCCUGAAGGUGUGACCCAUUGGAUAGAGUUGCCAACGGUCUCAAGGUACAACAGACACAAAAGGAAGGUCCUGUCUCCCAGGGACUGGUAUUAA
rnacentral:lncRNA from 1 species